GGCAGCGGGUUGAAAGCUUGCUUUCAAUGCCGGCGACCGGCGCACGGGUGCGUAACGCGUAUCAAACCUGCCUCAUACUCGGGGAUAGCCUUGCGAAAGUAAGAUUAAUACCCGAUGUUGUUGCUUUCUCGCAUGGGAGAGUAACCAAAGAUUUAUCGGUAUGAGAUGGUGAUGCGUCCGAUUAGGUAGUAGGCGGGGUAACGGCCCACCUAGCCUUCGAUCGGUAGGGGUUCUGAGAGGAAGGUCCCCCACACUGGAACUGAGACACGGUCCAGACUCCUACGGGAGGCAGCAGUGAGGAAUAUUGGUCAAUGGGCGAGAGCCUGAACCAGCCAAGUAGCGUGCAGGAUGACGGCCCUCCGGGUUGUAAACUGCUUUUAGUUGGGAAUAAAAAAAGGGACGUGUCCCUUCUUGUAUGUACCUUCAGAAAAAGGACCGGCUAAUUCCGUGCCAGCAGCCGCGGUAAUACGGAAGGUCCAGGCGUUAUCCGGAUUUAUUGGGUUUAAAGGGAGCGUAGGCGGAUUGUUAAGUCAGCGGUUAAAGGGUGUGGCUCAACCAUGCAUUGCCGUUGAAACUGGCGAUCUUGAGUGCAGACAGGGAUGCCGGAAUUCGUGGUGUAGCGGUGAAAUGCUUAGAUAUCACGAAGAACUCCGAUCGCGAAGGCAGGUGUCCGGGCUGCAACUGACGCUGAGGCUCGAAAGUGUGGGUAUCAAACAGGAUUAGAUACCCUGGUAGUCCACACAGUAAACGAUGUAUACUC
rnacentral:rRNA from 1 species